rnacentral:piRNA from 1 species
UACAUUGUAAUUUUAACACAACUUGUUU